CAGCCGCCGCGGGAAUACGAAGGGGGCUAGCGUUGUUCGGAAUUACUGGGCGUAAAGCGCACGUAGGCGGACAUUUAAGUCAGGGGUGAAAUCCCGGGGCUCAACCCCGGAACUGCCUUUGAUACUGGGUGUCUAGAGUAUGGAAGAGGUGAGUGGAAUUCCGAGUGUAGAGGUGAAAUUCGUAGAUAUUCGGAGGAACACCAGUGGCGAAGGCGGCUCACUGGUCCAUUACUGACGCUGAGGUGCGAAAGCGUGGGGAGCAAACAGGAUUAGAUACCCCGGUAGUCCCUGUCUCUUAUAC
rnacentral:rRNA from 1 species